ACGGAAGGCAGCAGUGGGGAAUAUUGCACAAUGGGGGAAACCCUGAUGCAGCAACGCCGCGUGAGUGAAGAAGUAUUUCGGUAUGUAAAGCUCUAUCAGCAGGGAAGAUAGUGACGGUACCUGACUAAGAAGCCCCGGCUAACUACGUGCCAGCAGCCGCGGUAAUACGUAGGGGGCAAGCGUUAUCCGGAUUUACUGGGUGUAAAGGGAGCGCAGGCGGUAACGGAAGCCAGAGGUGAAAACCCGGGGCUCAACCCCGAGGAUUGCCGUUGGAACUGUGUAGCUGGAGUGCUGGAGGGGCAGGCGGAAUUCCUGGUGUAGCGGUGAAAUGCGUAGAUAUCAGGAGGAACACCGGUGGCGAAGGCGGCCUGCUGGACAGUAACUGACGCUGAGGCUCGAAAGCGUGGGGAGCAAACAGGAUUAGAUACCCUGGUA
rnacentral:rRNA from 1 species